UGUCGGUGAGAAGUCGAAAUGGAGAAUGAAAUUGAUACCUUGAGGAGGUGUAAAUGGUUUGGGAUUGUGGGCUUUUGGACUUAUAAACCUCCACCUCCAUCACCAUCGUCGUCUCUUCCUAUUCAAUCACACCCAGUAAACGGAUCUUCUUCGGGUAGUAAUACACAAUUACAUAAUCUUGAAUAAUAACCCAUGUUCAUCUUCCAAGAUUAAAGCUUUCAUAUUGUUUUCCUUCGCAAAUCCUUGAUAUACUCUUAGGUUUUAACUUUUAAUUAAUUGUUUUCUAUGCUACUUUGUUGUUUCCAUUUGUUUGUAUGCUAUUUCUUGGAUCACGAUUGAUUUUGCAGCUAAUGUACGAAUUUUAUUCUUUAAUUUAUGGACAUUAUUAUUAUGCACUUUGGCUUCACAGAUCUGUAAUUUUGCAUUAUGCUUCUGUUAAAUUUAGGAUGCGUAUGUAGGUUUAGUUAAAGUUUUAACUUAAGAAUUGACGGGUAUCUUGGUAUACAUGGCAUAGCGGAGAAGGAUUAUUGCUGAAAUAGAAAUCGAUUAAUUUAUUGCUGUACGUCGAUUGUGUUAAUUGAUAUUGCAGGAGUUUAAAGCACCGUUAUGGAUUCCGUUGUUUCUUUUGAUUAUAAACGGGUGGUCUCCGCUGAUUUAUCGAACUUAGCUCACCACCACCGGCCAUCAUAAAAAUGAACUGCGGUGGCUGCUUUGGAAAAAAAUAUCAAUUUGUUUUGGGUCUUCAUGGUGGUUGACAUGAGAGAUAGGCGGAGCAGUGACCUAUGGUUUCGAUAAAGGGAUUAAAGCAAUGGCUGAGCAGUUAUCUAGGGUUCUAACCAAGGAGUUCAAGUGAUAUUUUCAGGAAUGGGCCACAAGACGGAAGAAACUCAAUGUAGGAUGGUACUUAUGGUACAACUUGCCCGAUCCCACUGGGCAACAAUUUUACAUACAUGCUUCAAGCGAAGGAUCAGAUUGGUAGCUUCUUCUACUUCCUGUGACUUGGCCUUCAAAAGGCCGCCAGAGGCUAUGGCGGCACGAAAAUCUACAGCCGCCAUCGGAUCCGGUCCUCUUUCCUUUCCCUGCCAGAGAUCAAAUUGUUCUUGCUGGUGAUUGGUAAAAAAAGGCCACCUGAGACCAAGACACACAUAGGGCAUGGGUGAAAGCAUUUCUUCUUCUUAUGGACUUGUCAUCAAUGGGCGUGGCUUGAAUGGUUACACAUUCGAAGUCGAACAAGGUAGUUAGAAUUUUUUUUUAUAUUGUACGAUGUUUUCAGACUUGGCCACAUACUCGGUCCGGUUGAGUCUAUUUGAACCAGCCGGAAACCGUCCAGAGUGCUUGAACCGGCAAACCACACCGGUGGCCAAAC